AAACUGAAGAGUUUGAUCCUGGCUCAGAUUGAACGCUGGCGGCAUGCCUUACACAUGCAAGUCGAACGGCAGCACGGGUGCUUGCACCUGGUGGCGAGUGGCGAACGGGUGAGUAAUACAUCGGAACAUGUCCUGUAGUGGGGGAUAGCCCGGCGAAAGCCGGAUUAAUACCGCAUACGAUCUACGGAUGAAAGCGGGGGACCUUCGGGCCUCGCGCUAUAGGGUUGGCCGAUGGCUGAUUAGCUAGUUGGUGGGGUAAAGGCCUACCAAGGCGACGAUCAGUAGCUGGUCUGAGAGGACGACCAGCCAC
rnacentral:rRNA from 1 species